rnacentral:rRNA from 1 species
CACGUAGGGAGCAAGCGUUGUCCGGAAUCAUUGGGCGUAAAGCGCGCGUAGGUGGCUCCAUAAGUCCGUUGUGAAAGUCAAAGGCUCAACCUUUGAAAGCCGAUGGAUACUGUGGAGCUAGAGUUCGGGAGAGGAGAGUGGAAUUCCCAGUGUAGAGGUGAAAUUCGUAGAUAUUGGGAAGAACACCGGUGGCGAAGGCGGCUCUCUGGACCGAUACUGACGCUGAGGCGCGAAAGCGUGGGGAGCAAACAGGG